AUUGAACGCUGGCGGCAGGCCUAACACAUGCAAGUCGAGCGGAUGAAGGGAGCUUGCUCCUGGAUUCAGCGGCGGACGGGUGAGUAAUGCCUAGGAAUCUGCCUGGUAGUGGGGGAUAACGUCCGGAAACGGGCGCUAAUACCGCAUACGUCCUGAGGGAGAAAGUGGGGGAUCUUCGGACCUCACGCUAUCGGAUGAGCCUAGGUCGGAUUAGCUAGUUGGUGGGGUAAAGGCCUACCAAGGCGACAAUCCGUGACUGGUCUGAGAGGAUGAUCAGUCACACUGGAACUGAGACACGGUCCAGACUCCUACGGGAGGCAGCAGUGGGGAAUAUUGGACAAUGGGCGAAAGCCUGAUCCAGCCAUGCCGCGUGUGUGAAGAAGGUCUUCGGAUUGUAAAGCACUUUAAGUUGGGAGGAAGGGCAGUAAGUUAAUACCUUGCUGUUUUGACGUUACCGACAGAAUAAGCACCGGCUAACUUCGUG
rnacentral:rRNA from 1 species